CCGGGGAUAACAGGCUGGUCUCUCCCAAGAGUCCACAUCGACGGGGAGGCUCGGCACCUCGAUGUCGGCUCAUCCCAUCCUGGGGGUGUAGUAGCUCCCAAGGGUUCGGCUGUUCGCCGAUUAAAGGGGUACGUGAGCUGGGUUCAGAACGUCGUGAGACAGUUCGGUCCCUAUCCGCUGCGGGCGCAGGAGGCUUGAGGGGAUCCUUCCCUAGUACGAGAGGACCGGGAAGGACGGACCGCUGGUGUACCAGUUGUCCCGCCAGGGGCACGGCUGGAUAGCUAUGUCCGGUCGGGAUAAGCGCUGAAAGCAUCUAAGCGCGAAGCCCACCCCAAGACGAGGCCUCCCAUGGCGUCAAGCCAGUAAGGCCCCUCGUAGACCACGAGGUUGAUAGGCCCGAGGUGUAAGGUCAGCAAUGGCCUCAGCCAACGGGUACUAAUCGGCCGAGGGCUUAACCUUAUCCCU
rnacentral:rRNA from 1 species